rnacentral:rRNA from 1 species
CCCUUAGAUGUCCUGGGCCGCACGCGCGCUACACUGAGUGUCUGAGAUAUGAGGCAUGCCUGGUCCGGCAAGGUCUAGGUAAUCACGAAAAGGCACAUCAUGCUUGGGAUUGAUUAUUGCAAAUUUUAAUCAUGAACGAGGAAUUCCUAGUAAGCGCAAGUCAUCAGCUUGCGUUGAUUACGUCCCUGCCCUUUGCACACACCGCCCGUCGCUCCUACCGAUUGAAUGGUCCGGUGAAGCGUUCGGACCGUGGCCUUUGGACGGUUCGCCGUCUGUUGGCUGCGGGAAGUUCGUUAAACCUUAUCAUUUAGAGGAAGGAGAAGUCGUAACA